AAAGAAACAAAAUAAGUCAUCUUGCAUUAUAUAUAUAAUCCAGAGACAUUAUACACUGAGGAUACCGUGCAAUUCAGAAAAUUAUCGGAAAUGUUGCAGAUCUAAUAACAGUAUUUGAAAAACCUGAGAGAGGAGAGAGGAACCGAGGAGACCAGCGAGGAAAAAGAACAAGCAAGCGAGGAAGACGAAAGGUAACUCAAUCUUCGACUUCAAGCUCCAAUUUGCUUUAUUGGAUUUGCCGCCUUUCAUCCUGUUUCUCAAGUCAAAAUCUCUGGAAUAAUGGUGAAUGCAAAAGAGUAUAUAAUUAUAUGAUUGCUUGACGAUGCAGCAAUUUGCAAAAUGUACAUAUAGUGGUAAGCAGGGCGCGGCGGGAAUGUUUUCAACGGAGAGAGGGGCGCUUGUGUUGAAUUACCAAAAUGUCACGAGAUUCGGCAAUAAAUGGAUUCCACAGAAAAUCUAGGGGUGGGUGGAUUUUG
rnacentral:lncRNA from 1 species